rnacentral:lncRNA from 1 species
AGAUGUGGUACAUAUACACAAUGGAAUAUUACUCAGCCAUUAAAAAGAAUGAAAUACCAGCAUUUUUAGCAACAUGGAUGGAUCUAGAAAUUAUCAUGCUAAGUGAAGUCAGCCAUACAAUGAGACACCAACAUCAAAUUCUUUCACUGACAUGUGGAAUCUGAAAAAAGGACAAAUGAACUUCUUUGCAGAACAGAUGCUGACUCACAGACAUUGAAACAGUUGUGUUUCUGGAGGAGACAGUUUGGGGGGUGGGGGGAUGUGCUUGCGCUGUGGGAUGGAAAUCCUGUGAAAUUAGAUUGUUAUGAUCAUUAUACAAAAAAAAAAUAUGGUUGGAAAAGGAUGAGUGAGAAGGAGGGUACUAGGAGGUGGUUCAGAAAGUUAAUAGGAAGCUGGAUCAUGAAGGAUCUGCAUGCCGUUUUCUGGGUUUUGACUUUUACUCUAAGCAAAUUAGGAUAUAAUCCUAGGGUUGAAGCAGAGAAAUGACCUGUUCUGAUUUUACCUUUGAAGGAGUCAUUUGGCAAGUAUUUGGAUGGAUAUACUUCUGUGUCAUUUUCAUUCAUUUUAAAAAUUUAUUCAUUUGUUUUUUAUUCCACAAUUGUUAAAAAUCUGUCGUGUGCCUGAACAUUGUGGCAUGCCAUGGAAAUAAUGGAGACAUAUAAGAAUGACUCUGCUCCCUAUCCUGAGACUGUUUCAUUUUUUUUCUAAGGUAGUUUAUAGUCUUCAUCAUAAUGAAAAUGGUGGUGGUAAUCGUAGCAAUGGUUGAUUAUGUCUUAAGGACCAUAUGUUGAGAACGUUUUGUACUAUUUGCAAUACAAAUGUUAGUCAUUAGCCCAAAGGCAUCAUGUACCUACAAGGCAUUGUUAAAAAAUCAUUUAUUGCCAUUUUAAUCUCCUAUUAGAAAUGAAUUAUUUUUGGUCAUUUUUUAUACUUUUAAGUUUCAUAGAUCAUGUAGUCUUUGGGAGAAAAAGCAUGGAUUAAUUACUUUUAUAUACUGAAAAAGAUAUAUUACCUCAUGCUGAUAUUUGAGGUAAUUCGUUUGUCUUCCAAAUUAUUUUUUGAAUCAUGUAAUAAUAUAUGUACAUUGUUAAAAGCUUAAAUAUUACAGGAGGAAAUAAAAUGAAAGUUAAAAUCUCCCUUCCUGAGCUCUUCCCCUUUAAAACUCCAAGUCUCACUUCCCAGAGAGAAAUACUACCAAUCAUUUCUAUGUAGACUUUGGGAAAUUUUUGAUGUAUAUUUAACAUAUUCAUACACACAUAGACAUAGUUUUAUCAUAUGCACCAAAAGUACUUGACGUUUGUUCUUUGAAAUUCCCUGCAUAUAUUUCUACUUUAAGAAUAUUUAUGGCACUGGGCUAAGAAAUAACUUGAAUCUCAAGGACUAACUUUUUCCCCUGAACAGAUCUGAAAUAGAAAUUCUAGGUAACUGUAUUUUUCUUCUAAUAAUAAUCCCAUUUUACUGAAUUGUCUUUCAUAGACUUUAUGUGAAUUGCUCGUGGUCACAUACCUAGCAAAUGGCACAGGUGCGAUUAAAACCCACACCUUUAUUGGCCUGGACUGGACUGUCUCUUAAAUGACCUUGCCUCUUAAUUUUAUAUAACCAUAUUCCUUUUUCAUGAAUUAAAAAAGCUUCUUUUUCUGUGCUUGUCCAAGUCUUGUUAUGGUACCUGCUGAUAAUGGGGAUGUCGCCUCUGAAGCAUUAUGCUGUCUAUGCUACUGAAAAUAACCACAAAUUUAUUUCUCUGAAUUUAAUUUUUUUUGUUUCCAUGAACUCAGGACAUUUUGCAGUUUUGAUUUUUGGAGCUGAUUAGUUUUUAAAUGUAUUGGGGCCAUUUCCCUGAAGGGAUGAUUUCUUUUAUGGUCUUUGGAGGCCAAACCAGGUUGACAGACUCACUCCCCUACUUUCCUAUGAGAACAAUGGGUAGUGGCCAUAGGGGAAAAAAAAAAGAGAUGCAUAUUUUAAAACAUUUUUUAGGGCCACACAUUCUGGUGAAUGAUUUCUCUGUUAUCUGAAUACCUGAGCCUCAGCUUUUGAAAAUAUCUUCCCUUCAAGAAAAUAAUAUCCUCUAUUUAUAAGGCUGCAAAAUAUAACCUUAAUUCCCUCAGUGAGGAAUUCUGCAAUUCUGAUUGCAGAAAGAGAAAAGAAGGGUGGACAUGUAGCUCUUUUAAAUAUUUUGAAAUUGGGCCUUUUCUCUUUCAGUCUAAAGCCCAUUAUCAGUAAAUAAGCAUUUGUUUUUCAGACCAGAAUCACCGGAUAUAACAGUUUUGUAUUUUCCAUUUAUAUUGUAGUUUUCUUUUAUUUUGGUCACUUGUUCAUUUUUGGAUAGGAUCCUGAGAAAGUUUCCUUUUGGAAACGUAGUCACCUACACGUUAAAGAAAAUGCACCUCUCUUAAUAGUUAAUGAUUACCAUAAUCAUUUGAGGGGUUAUAAAAAUUAAAAACAGUAACAUUUCAUUAGCGAUGUGGAAAGUGAAAAUAUGCAUUAGGUAACAUGGAGUACGAAUAAUGUUAACUUUGCUGGUUGCCCAGACAUUCUUUUCUGCUCUUCUUAGCUGGUACACUUACUGCUUUAUCUUCCCACUUAGUCAGAUAGAUUUAGCAAGAGCCCACAGUAUGUUAAAUAGCAAUGCUGGUAUUGAGGGCAGAGAGAUACAAAAGAACUAGAAAAUAAGUAUAAUUCUUCAGAGAAAUUUAUUAUCUAGUUUCCUUUUAUUCCUCCCCUUGGUUUUUCCAUUUGAUCUCUUUGUUUUAUGCCAUUUAAUUUUUUCAUUCCAUGAGGUCUUCAAACAUCUAACCUAUGGAUACCACGUUCCUUUUUUCCUUCAUGUGUUCUUUAUUCUACUCAGGAAUAGGUCUGUAAUUUUUAUUUCUAACUUUUUAUACAUAGGCUACAUGGUAUAUGACUAUGCAAAGUAAUAUAAAUAUUAUAAAGACAACCUCACAAUCCCUAUAUACAGAUAUAUAUGUGUGUGUGUAUAAAGUUAUAAAUGAAAAAUCCUAUAGGCCUAGGGAUAGCUGUGUGUUUCAGUAAUUGAAAUGCGCAUUGAUAUGUAACCUAUUAAAAUGACCACAUUGAGUGGUAUUACUGGUAAUAUAUUUUUAUUCUUAGUCAUUUUGAGUUUAGUUUAUUUUAGGGACUAGACGCCUCCCAAAAGCGCUGAGUCAGCACAGGUAAAUAAUCCUGAAAAUACUCUAUAUGCACUUAAAGACCCAGAGGAGUCACUGCUAAGACUUUGUCUACACUUAGCAUUUCAGUAUCUUAUUUCCAUUUUUACUGUUGACUUUCCUUAAAUGUUUUCAGUGAUUGGGAGAAAGACAAAUUAAGUAAAAUAGCAUAUCUUUUGCAAACAUUUUGAGCAGCUUAAUUAACAAUGUCCUAGAUGAAAUGAAUAUAUACCCAGACCAAAGAAUUAAAAAAAAAAAAACCUCUCUGUCUCCUCAUUUUCUCAGUGAAGAAGAAGCAGAAAGGAUUGAAGGCGUGAGAGGAUGACUCUACAAAGUGAAAGGUUCUCAGCACCCCAGUAAAUGUCUUCUCUUGUGCACUUGUAGCAUUUAUCCACUCCAUUUAGUUCUGACAGUGUACCAGCUAGUGGUGCAAGAGAGGCAGUAGCCAAAAAAUAAAUAUAAUAAAUUAACAUUUAAUCAAUUUGCAGAUUUGCUGUGGUUAAAAAUGAAAUAGAACCACUAUAAAUUGACUCAAACACCCUAGGUAUUAGAAGAUUUCCACUGUUUAGAAAUAUGUAUUAACUAAUAGAUGUCACACAAUGUUUCCUGCUACGUGGAAAGUCAAUUCCAGCUCCCCAUCAGAUGAGCAGACAAGCUUUUAAAGUGUCAUCAACCAAAUAUAAACAGGAUAAUGCUUAUCGUUCAAGAAAAAAAAUCUUAAAAUUGUCAAACAAUU